AGUGAACGCUGGCGGUAGGCCUAACACAUGCAAGUCGAACGGCAGCACAGUAAGAGCUUGCUCUUACGGGUGGCGAGUGGCGGACGGGUGAGGAAUACAUCGGAAUCUACUUUUUCGUGGGGGAUAACGUAGGGAAACUUAUGCUAAUACCGCAUACGACCUACGGGUGAAAGCAGGGGAUCUUCGGACCUUGCGCGAUUGAAUGAGCCGAUGUCGGAUUAGCUAGUUGGCGGGGUAAAGGCCCACCAAGGCGACGAUCCGUAGCUGGUCUGAGAGGAUGAUCAGCCACACUGGAACUGAGACACGGUCCAGACUCCUACGGGAGGCAGCAGUGGGGAAUAUUGGACAAUGGGCGCAAGCCUGAUCCAGCCAUACCGCGUGGGUGAAGAAGGCCUUCGGGUUGUAAAGCCCUUUUGUUUGGAAAGAAAAGCAGCAGGUUAAUACCCCGCUGUUCUGACGGUACCCAAAGAAUAAGCACCGGCUAACUUCGUG
rnacentral:rRNA from 1 species